UACGUAGGGUGCGAGCGUUAAUCGGAAUUACUGGGCGUAAAGCGUGCGCAGGCGGUUCGUUAUGUCCGAUGUGAAAGCCCCGAGCUUAACUUGGGAAUGGCAUUGGAAACUGGCGGGCUGGAGUGCGGCAGAGGGGGGUGGAAUUCCACGUGUAGCAGUGAAAUUCGUAGAUAUCGGGAGGAACACCAGUGGCGAAGGCGGCGAUCUGGGAAGAUACUGACGCUGAGGUGCGAAAGCGUGGGGAGCAAACAGGG
rnacentral:rRNA from 1 species